GACAGAGGGUGCAAACGUUGUUCGGAAUUACUGGGCGUAAAGCGAGUGUAGGCGGUGUAGUAAGUCGGAUGUGAAAGCCCCGGGCUCAACCCGGGAAGUGCACUCGAUACUGCCACGCUAGAGUAUCGGAGAGGUUGGUGGAAUUCUCGGUGUAGAGGUGAAAUUCGUAGAUAUCGAGAGGAACACCGGUGGCGAAGGCGGCCAACUGGACGAAUACUGACGCUGAGACUCGAAAGCGUGGGGAGCAAACAGG
rnacentral:rRNA from 1 species